UACGGGGGGGGUAAGCGUUGUUCGGAUUUACUGGGCGUAAAGGGCGCGUAGGCGGCCACCGCAAGUCAAUUGUGAAAUCUCCGGGCUUAACUCGGAAAGGUCAACUGAUACUGCGGGGCUAGAGUGCGGAAGGGGCAACUGGAAUUCUCGGUGUAGCGGUGAAAUGCGUAGAUAUCGAGAGGAACACCUGCGGCGAAGGCGGGUUGCUGGGCCGACACUGACGCUGAUGCGCGAAAGCCAGGGGAGCGAACGGG
rnacentral:rRNA from 1 species